GUAAGGAAUCUUCCGCAAUGGGCGAAAGCCUGACGGAGCGACACCGCGUGGAGGACGAAGGCCUUUUGGUUGUAAACUCCUUUUCUGAGGGAAUAAAUGAUGAAGGUACCUCAGGAAUAAGCACCGGCUAACUACGUGCCAGCAGCCGCGGUAAUACGUAGGGUGCAAGCGUUAUCCGGAAUCAUUGGGCGUAAAGCGUUCGUAGGUGGUUUAGAAAGUUUGUAGUUAAAUCUGGUCGCUCAACGAUCAAUUCGCUACAAAAACUCCUAAACUAGAGAUUGACAGAGGCAACUGGAAUUCCACAUGUAGGGGUAAAAUCCGUUGAUAUGUGGAGGAACACCAAAAGCGAAGGCAGGUUGCUGGGUCAUUUCUGACGCUGAGGAACGAAAGCGUGGGGAGCAAACAGGAUUAGAAACCCUAGUAGUCC
rnacentral:rRNA from 1 species